UACGGAGGGUGCGAGCGUUGUCCGGAAUCACUGGGCGUAAAGGGCGCGUAGGCGGCCUGAUAAGUAGGGGGGUGAAAUCCUGCGGCUUAACCGCAGGGCUGCCUUCUAGACUGUCAGGCUAGAGCACAGUAGAGGCAGGUGGAAUUCCCGGUGUAGCGGUGGAAUGCGUAGAGAUCGGGAAGAACAUCAGUGGCGAAGGCGGCCUGCUGGGCUGUUGCUGACGCUGAGGCGCGACAGCGUGGGGGAGCAAACAGG
rnacentral:rRNA from 1 species